rnacentral:rRNA from 1 species
AUUGAACGCUGGCGGCAGGCCUAACACAUGCAAGUCGAGCGAGCGGCGGACGGGUGAGUAACGUAGGGGGACUGCCCGAUAGAGGGGGAAAAAUACUGGAAACGGUGGAUAAUACCGCAUACUGUCGGAGAACACAUAGGGGAUUAGGUAGUAGGUAAGGUAAUGGCGUACCUAGGCGACGAUCCCUAGCUGGUCUAAGAGGAUGAUCAGCCACAAUGGGACUGAGACCCGGCCCAGACUCCUACGGAGGCAGCAGUGGGGAAUAUUGCACAAUGGGCGCAAGCCUGAUGCAGCCAUGCCGCGUGUAUGAAGAAGGCCCUAGGGUUGUAAAGUACUUUCAGUCGGGAGGCGUUACCGACAGAAGAAGCACCGGCUAACUCCGUGCCAGCAGCCGCGGUAAUUC